rnacentral:rRNA from 1 species
GAUGAACGCUGGCGGCGUGCCUAAUACAUGCAAGUCGAGCGAAUGGAUUGAGAGCUUGCUCUUAUGAAGUUAGCGGCGGACGGGUGAGUAACACGUGGGUAACCUGCCCAUAAGACUGGGAUAACUCCGGGAAACCGGGGCUAAUACCGGAUAACAUUUUGAACCGCAUGGUUCGAAAUUGAAAGGCGGCUUCGGCUGUCACUUAUGGAUGGACCCGCGUCGCAUUAGCUAGUUGGUGAGGUAACGGCUCACCAAGGCAACGAUGCGUAGCCGACCUGCGAGGGUGAUCGGCCAACCUGGGACUGGGACACGGCCCAGACUCCUACGGGAGGCAGCAGUAGGGAAUCGUCCGCAAUGGACGAAAGUCUGACGGAGCAACGCCGCGUGAGUGAUGAAGGCUUUCGGGUCGUAAAACUCUGUUGUUAGGGAAGAACAAGUGCUAGUUGAAUAAGCUGGCACCUUGACGGUACCUAACCAGAAAGCCACGGCUAACUACGUGCCAGCCGCCGCAGUAA